rnacentral:lncRNA from 1 species
UGUCAAUUAAAAUGUCCCCAUCUUCAUCAAAACCGAGCACUUUUUUCGGUUGAUCAAUAUUUAAAAACAAAGUUUUUGUAAAGUAAUUGUGCCAAAUCAACAUAUUCUAAAUUCCAUAUUUGGUUUAUAAUUUUUUGUGGUACAAACACAUCAACAUCAUUACUAGUAGGUAUAACUAAAAUCUCACCGUUUUGUACAGAAUUACGAGCUGUGGGCUGCCCUGGGUGUACACAUCCCUGAUCAGGAACUUGUUGUUCAGCGGGCUGCAGAGGAAGUUUGAAGUUCCAAUGAGUUGUGGUUGUAGAAUUGGC